UCUUUUAAGGAUGUUAGGGAUUAUAACACAACCAACUCAAUUUUACCCUUGUACAACAAGGGUAGAGCAAACAGAAACCACUGUGACGUCUGUGGGAAGGAACGGCCAGAGGCAAGGGCACUAUGUACAUCAGGAAAGGCUUAAGACAGAGAUACAGAUAAGAAAAUAGAUGACUACCCAUUUUUCAAUUUCAUACCCAGGUAGAUAAGCUUAAUGAGGCAUUCAGUUAAAAAGUGUUUUGAAAUCCUUAGCCCAUCUAGAUGGCUCUGACAUUAGGAUACUAAGGAAGAGAUUACUACAGGUGGGAAGCAAAGCAACAAGUUUAACUUCCCUUCCAAACCUAAACCUGCUACUCAAUUGCAGAUACAAACCUGGGCUUCUCAAGAGUGCCUGGAGAUGGACUUGGGGUCAUAAGCAUGCAGGCAAUGGAAAUGGGUGAAGUCACUCAGGAGCAGUACAAACUAAAGGCUAACAAAAGCUUUAAACGUAGAGUGGAAGCCAACUGAGGAAUGAGUGAGCAAAAUAAAACAUGAUGGUUUCCUUAUCGUCCUUAUCACAUUAUGUUGGCUGUUCUAUGAGCUUACAAUUCAACCAGACCGUUUGCUUUCUUCAAGUGUUAUUUUUCCACCUUGAUUUCAAGAUCUUGAAGGACAAGAACUCCUCUUCCCUUUCUUUUAUAUUUUUUUGUAAACCUGCCAUGCCCAGUAGUCUUACACAUAUAGUAAAACUCAACAAAUUCUUCAUUCACUGACUUGUUAAAAUGGGGAUUUGUUUUUGAAUGCAACAUUUAAUGCAAAUUCCUCACAUCAAAGAGUGAAAUAUUAGAAACCAUUCAUGCGACUCUUGAGAAUGAUUCUCUGAAUUUAAACCUUCCCUCACCCAUUUACUCCCAAAAGGCUCAAAUCUCUCAGAAGCAGCAAGUUUCUCCUGCAUCAACCCCUGCAGGUAAACCUACUCUCACAGAAUUCUUGGCUACUAGGAGUGUGGAUUUAAAGAACCAUUGUAAUGUACAGUUGGUUUUCUGAGAGAUGUAGCAAGGUUCAUCAAUGGGGAAAUCUGGCAAGACUGGUCAGAGAAUAUGAGUCUAUGGCUAAUUCCUUAGUGGAAAAAUAGAAAGCCAAACAGAAACUAAGAAGUUAUGACUCUGUACACAAACAUAGUACCCAGACAUCUUCUGGCAUCACCCAUUAAGUGGUCCCAACUAUUGAUCAAACAUAUUUAGCUUGGCACUGCCUUCUUAUCAUUCCAUAAGUAAGAAAGGGGG